AUUGAACGCUGGCGGCAGGCCUAACACAUGCAAGUCGAGCGAGCGGCGGGCGGGGGUGAGAAGCCUGGGAAAAUGCCUGAUGGAAGGGGAUAACGCUGGGAAACUGUUGAUAAUACCGCGCACGAUAGGAUGAGGCCCGGUGGGUUUAGCUUGUUGGGGGGGGAAUGGCCUACCAAGCCGACGCUCACUAGCUGGUCUGCGAGGAUGACCAGCCACACCGGGACUGAGACACGGCCCGGACUCCUACGGGAGGCAGCAGUGGGGAAUAUUGGGCAAUGGGCGCAACCCUGAUCCAGCCAUGCCGCGUGAAUGAAGAAGGCCUUCGGGUUGUAAAGUUCUUUCGUUAGCGAAGCGGUAACCACAGAAGAAGCACCGGCUAACUCCGUGCCAGCCGCCGCGGUAAUAC
rnacentral:rRNA from 1 species